UGUGAGUAUACAAAUCAUAAAAUGUGAAAUUAUGCAUCGAGUUUACAAUACUCUACUCACAA
rnacentral:tRNA from 1 species